rnacentral:rRNA from 1 species
CGCAAGCCCGUCUCGCAACCAUGCGUCGAAAGCGUCGUGUUAUCCCUCGCCGGACACACGUUAAAGAAGCGAAAUGCACGAAAUACGCCUCUCAGAACACAAACAAGAAAUCACAACCGGUAGCGUUGGAUCCCUUGGCACGUUGAUCGAUGAAGACCGUUGCAAACUGCGAUAAGUGGUGUGAUGCGCAAGUCUAAAACUUAUAAGUGAAUCAUCGAAUCGUUGAACGCACGACACCGGCUCUAUCCGAGCAGGUAUGCCCCUUUGAGCGCCAUUAUGCCUUCGGUCGCGUCCGGAACCUCGGUUCCGCGACGUCCGGGUUCGAGGUCCACCGUGCGUCCGCGCACGGCGUUCCUUCAGAUGCAUUGGAAGGGAAGAGGCCACGCCGGAACCCACCGUGUCAUGAGACAUGCACGGAAGGACCGCAGCGCCCGAUCCCGGGACGUGUCCGCAGAGAGACCGUCCGGCGAACGCACUUCGGGUGUGAAAACCUUUGAAUGUGGCCUCACCGGGGUAAGACUACCCGCUAGACUUAA